ACGGGUUUCACAAGCAGCGUGAGUCACAGCAGUCUUCUCUUCUGCAGGGAACCGUUGUUGGCAAAAGGAAGAAAAAACAAAAACAGCAAAAACUUCAGUCACUGCAGAGGAACCCAUCGUUGAGAAAAGUCAUUCUGGUUUGCUAAAGUAAGAAAGGAACUGAGAAAAGGAGACUCUGGUUAAAAAACAUAAGCACUACUAGUUGUUACCAGGAUCGACUGAGAUGAAGUAGAUGAAAGUCCUUGAUGAAACAUCCAGUGUUGUGUAGACCAAAGAGGGUGCCUGCUUUCAGACUACUUUCACAUAUAUAUAUAGAUUUAACUUGCUUCUUGAAUGGCUAUAUAGUUUUCCGUUCUAAGAGUGUGAUAUAUUUUACCUAUCUUUCUGCUACAGAUAGAAAUUUAGUUUCCAUUUUAGCAAGCAUUGCCAAAUAUUUCCCCAAACAGAUGAACCAAUAUAUACUUCUACCAGAAA